rnacentral:rRNA from 1 species
GGCGAACGCUGGCGGCGUGCCUAAUACAUGCAAGUCGAGCGGACCGGAUUGGGGCUUGCCUUGAUUCGGUCAGCGGCGGACGGGUGAGUAACACGUGGGCAACCUGCCCGCAAGACCGGGAUAACUCCGGGAAACCGGAGCUAAUACCGGAUUACACCGAAGACCGCAUGGUCUUCGGUUGAAAGGCGGCCUUUGGGCUGUCACUUGCGGAUGGGCCCGCGGCGCAUUAGCUAGUUGGUGAGGUAACGGCUCACCAAGGCGACGAUGCGUAGCCGGCCUGAGAGGGUGACCGGCCACACUGGGACUGAGACACGGCCCAGACUCCUACGGGAGGCAGCAGUAGGGAAUCUUCCGCAAUGGGCGAAAGCCUGACGGAGCGACGCCGCGUGAGCGAAGAAGGCCUUCGGGUCGUAAAGCUCUGUUGUGAGGGACGAAGGAGCGUCGUUCGAAGAGGGCGGCGCGGUGACGGUACCUCACGAGAAAGCCCCGGCUAACUACGUG